rnacentral:rRNA from 1 species
AUCUACAGGCUUAACACAUGCAAGUCGAGGGGCAGCAUGGUCUUAGCUUGCUAAGGCCGAUGGCGACCGGCGCACGGGUGAGUAACACGUAUCCAACCUGCCGUCUACUCUUGGACAGCCUUCUGAAAGGAAGAUUAAUACAAGAUGGCAUCAUGAGUCCGCAUGUUCACAUGAUUAAAGGUAUUCCGGUAGACGAUGGGGAUGCGUUCCAUUAGAUAGUAGGCGGGGUAACGGCCCACCUAGUCUUCGAUGGAUAGGGGUUCUGAGAGGAAGGUCCCCCACAUUGGAACUGAGACACGGUCCAAACUCCUACGGGAGGCAGCAGUGAGGAACAUUGGUCAAUGGGCGAGAGCCUGAACCAGCCAAGUAGCGUGAAGGAUGACUGCCCUAUGGGUUGUAAACUUCUUUUAUAAAGGAAUAAAGUCGGGUAUGCAUACCCGUUUGCAUGUACUUUAUGAAUAAGGAUCGGCUAACUCCGUGCCAGCAGCCGCGGUAAUACGGAGGAUCCGAGCGUUAUCCGGAUUUAUUGGGUUUAAAGGGAGCGUAGAUGGAUGUUUAAGUCAGUUGUGAAAGUUUGCGGCUCAACCGUAAAAUUGCAGUUGAUACUGGAUAUCUUGAGUGCAGUUGAGGCAGGCGGAAUUCGUGGUGUAGCGGUGAAAUGCUUAGAUAUCACGAAGAACUCCGAUUGCGAAGGCAGCCUGCUAAGCUGCAACUGACAUUGAGGCUCGAAAGUGUGGGUAUCAAACAGGAUUAGAUACCCUGGUAGUCCACACGGUAAACGAUGAAUACUCGCUGUUUGCGAUAUACAGCAAGCGGCCAAGCGAAAGCGUUAAGUAUUCCACCUGGGGAGUACGCCGGCAACGGUGAAACUCAAAGGAAUUGACGGGGGGCCCGCACAAGCGGAGGAACAUGUGGUUUAAUUCGAUGAUACGCGAGGAACCUUACCCGGGCUUAAAUUGCAGAUGAAUUACGGUGAAAGCCGUAAGCCGCAAGGCAUCUGUGAAGGUGCUGCAUGGUUGUCGUCAGCUCGUGCCGUGAGGUGUCGGCUUAAGUGCCAUAACGAGCGCAACCCUUGUUGUCAGUUACUAACAGGUUCCGCUGAGGACUCUGACAAGACUGCCAUCGUAAGAUGUGAGGAAGGUGGGGAUGACGUCAAAUCAGCACGGCCCUUACGUCCGGGGCUACACACGUGUUACAAUGGGGGGUACAGAGGGCCGCUACCACGCGAGUGGAUGCCAAUCCCAAAAACCUCUCUCAGUUCGGACUGGAGUCUGCAACCCGACUCCACGAAGCUGGAUUCGCUAGUAAUCGCGCAUCAGCCACGGCGCGGUGAAUACGUUCCCGGGCCUUGUACACACCGCCCGUCAAGCCAUGGGAGCCGGGGGUACCUGAAGUGCGUAACCGCGAGGAGCGCCCUAGGGUAAAACUGGUGACUGGGGCUA